AUGGAUUGCUGGAAUAAAUUUGAAUAUUAGCCAAUGCGUAACCAUAUGUUGGUGACUUCCAACACAAAAACAACAUAAGUUAAUGAACUGCCAUGAGGUUAUUUGCUCUUGCACUGUUUAAUUGCCGUGUCUACUACGUUUCCUCGGUGAAGAUUUCCAAGCAGACGCCAUUAACUUACUGGUAACAUUACCUAACUUAAUGCAGCGCUGUUCAUCUCUGUGCGCAUUUCUUUGCAUUGAUUGCUGUUAGACAUUCAUAACGUUAGCGCUGCUGCUGUGGCUCAAGUUCUAUGAUUGACAAGCAAACUUAGUCUGUCCAUAUCAACUGGAGUCAGCACUUUCACUAUGUGCUGUUUUUGGGAUAAAUGCAUGACAAUGCCUCUACAGUCAAGGUUUCUAUCACAGCUUGACCUACACUUUGCAAGUCUGCUGAGGGUGUUUGCGAAGUGAUAAGGGCAGCAGAGCAAAAAGCUUAAAGACAUGGCUGCUAAGAUGAAGGAUGACAUUGAUGCUGGCAUCAUAAAAGGACUCUGCAUCUACCUCAACGAGGAUCCUGAUGAUCUGGUGCAGAAGUACAUGACAUGACUGAGGCCAACACACUAAGUCGCCAGAGAGACUCCCAGCAGUGACUAUUCUGAUGUUGGAGUAAUCAUUGAGGGCGUGGUGGUGCUUCGCGAUCUGCAGAAUGUGGCCCUUGCAUCUGCCAUGCUGUUCGGACUUUUUUAUACCUUAAAUAUGACGUAUCCAUCAAAGCUCUGCUACACCUUCGAAGUUCUUCAAAAGGUAAUAAUGGACUUGGAUGAAGCUGAACUAUCAAGAAGGGCCCAAAGCCU